AUGAACGCUGGCGGCGUGCCUUAGACAUGCAAGUCGAACGAAGCACCCACAACUGAUCGCUUCGGUGUGAGGAAAUGGGUGACUUAGUGGCGAACGGGUGAGUAACACGUGAGUGACCUGCCCCGAAGUGCGGCAUAACAGGGGGAAACCCUUGCUAAUUCCGCAUGUGCUCCCACCUCUUGUGGUGUGAGUAAAGAUUUAUCGCUUCGGGAUGGGCUCGCGGUCCAUCAGCUAGUUGGUAGGGUAAUGGCCUACCAAGGCUACGACGGAGAGCCGGCCUGAGAGGGUGUACGGCCACAGGGGCACUGAGAUACGGGUCCCACUCCUACGGGAGGCAGCAGUUAGGAAUCUUCCACAAUGGGCGAAAGCCUGAUGGAGCGACGCCGCGUGAGGGAUGAAGGUCUUUGGAUCGUAAACCUCUAAAAGUGGGACGAUAAUGACGGUACCACUUGAAAAGCACCGGCUAACUCCGU
rnacentral:rRNA from 1 species